rnacentral:rRNA from 1 species
UACGUAGGGUGCAAGCGUUGUCCGGAAUUAUUGGGCGUAAAGAGCUCGUAGGCGGUUUGUCGCGUCUGCUGUGAAAACUCAGGGCUUAACCCUGAGCCUGCAGUGGGUACGGGCAGACUAGAGUGUGGUAGGGGAGAUCGGAAUUCCUGGUGUAGCGGUGGAAUGCGCAGAUAUCAGGAGGAACACCGGUGGCGAAGGCGGUUCUCUGGGCCUUACCUGACACUGAGGAGCGAAAGCGUGGGGAGCGAACAGG